rnacentral:rRNA from 1 species
UAGGGAAUCUUCCACAAUGGGCGAAAGCCUGAUGGAGCAACGCCGCGUGUGUGAUGAAGGGUUUCGGCUCGUAAACACUGUUGUAAGAGAAGAAUGACAUUGAGAGUAACUGUUCAAUGUGUGACGGUAUCUUACCAGAAAGGAACGGCUAAAUACGUGCCAC